rnacentral:rRNA from 1 species
AUUGAACGCUGGCGGAAUGCUUUACACAUGCAAGUCGAACGGUAGAGGGGGCAACCCCUCGAGAGUGGCGAACGGGUGAGUAAUAUAUCGGAACGUGCCCAGUCGUGGGGAUAACGUAGCGAAGGUUACGCUAAUACCGCAUACGAUCUAAGGAUGACAGCGGGGGAUCGCAAGACCUCGCGCAAUUGGAGCGGCCGAUAUCAGAUUAGGUAGUUGGUGGGGUAAAGGCUCACCAAGCCAACGAUCUGUAGCUGGUCUGAGAGGACGACCAGCCACACUGGAACUGAGACACGGUCCAGACUCCUACGGGAGGCAGCAGUGGGGAAUUUUGGACAAUGGACGCAAGUCUGAUCCAGCCAUUCCGCGUGCAGGAUGAAGGCCCUCGGGUUGUAAACUGCUUUUGUACGGAACGAAAAGGUCUCUCUUAAUACGGGGGGCUCACGACGGUACCGUAAGAAUAAGCACCGGCUAACUACGUGCCAGCAGCCGCAGUAA